GGUGGCUCAGUGGUAGAGUGCUUGCCUUGCAUGUAUGAGGUCCUGGGUUCGAUUCCUUAGCACCA
rnacentral:tRNA from 1 species